GUGCUCGCUUUGGCAGCACAUAUAGUAAAAUUGGAAUGAUACAGAGAAGAUCAGCACCGCCCUGCUCAAGGAUGACAUGCAAAUUUGUGAAGAGUUCCAUAGUUUU